AACGGCGAGUGAAGCGGCAACAGCUCAAAUUUGAAAUCUGGCUCCUUCGGGGCCCGAGUUGUAAUUUGUAGAGGGCGCUUUGGCGUUGGCGCCGGCCUAAGUUCCUUGGAACAGGACGUCACAGAGGGUGAGAAUCCCGUACGUGGCAGGCUGCCUCCGCCGUGUAAAGCCCCUUCGACGAGUCGAGUUGUUUGGGAAUGCAGCUCUAAAUGGGAGGUAAAUUCCUUCUAAAGCUAAAUACUGGCCAGAGACCGAUAGCGCACAAGUAGAGUGAUCGAAAGAUGAAAAGCACUUUGGAAAGAGAGUCAAAAAGCACGUGAAAUUGUUGAAAGGGAAGCGCUUGCAGCCAGACUUGCCUGUAGUUGCUCAUCCGGGCUCUCGCCCGGUGCACUCUUCUAUGGGCAGGCCAGCAUCAGUUUGGGCGGCCGGAUAAAGGUCUCGGGAACGUAGCUCUCUCCGGGGAGUGUUAUAGCCCGUGGCGCAAUGCGGCCAGCCUGGACUGAGGUCCGCGCAUCUGCUAGGAUGCUGGCGUAAUGGCUGUAAGCGGCCCGUCUUGAAACACGGACCAAGGAGUCUAACAUCUAUGCGAGUGUUUGGGUGUCAAGCCCGGGCGCGCAAUGAAAGUGAACGGAGGUGGGAACCCCCCCGGGGUGCACCAUCGACCGAUCCUGAUGUCUUCGGAUGGAUUUGAGUAAGAGCAUAGCUGUUGGGACCCGAAAGAUGGUGAACUAUGCCUGAAUAGGGUGAAGCCAGAGGAAACUCUGGUGGA
rnacentral:rRNA from 1 species